UUAAUUAGUAUAGCCUGUUUUAGUGAUCACAUCAAUUCUUUACAGGCUAUGCUAAUCUAUGC
ensembl:miRNA